GGCAUCAUGGCCGAGCGGUCUAAGGCGCCAGAUUCAAGCUUCAGCUUGUUCGCAUAGCGAACUUCCUGGUCUCGCAAGAGGCGUGGGUUCGAGUCCCACUGAUGUCA